AGGCUAGCGUUGUUCGGAAUUACUGGGCGUAAAGCGCACGUAGGCGGAUUUGUAAGUCAGGGGUGAAAUCCCGGGGCUCAACCUCGGAACUGCCUUUGAUACUGCAAAUCUCGAGUCCGGAAGAGGUGAGUGGAAUUCCUAGUGUAGAGGUGAAAUUCGUAGAUAUUAGGAAGAACACCAGUGGCGAAGGCGGCUCACUGGUCCGGUACUGACGCUGAGACGCGAAAGCGUGGGUAGCAAACAGG
rnacentral:rRNA from 1 species